rnacentral:rRNA from 1 species
UACGUAGGGGGCGAGCGUUGUCCGGAUUUAUUGGGCGUAAAGAGCUCGUAGGCGGUUUGGUAAGUCGGAUGUGAAAUCUCCAGGCUCAACCUGGAGGGGUCAUUCGAGACUGCUAUGACUAGAGUUCGGUAGAGGAGUGUGGAAUUCCUGGUGUAGCGGUGGAAUGCGCAGAUAUCAGGAGGAACACCAAUAGCGAAGGCAGCUCGCUGGGACGGUACUGACGCUAAGGCGCGAAAGCGUGGGGAGCGAACAGG